CCCAUUUAACUGCUACGUGCAUCCAAGGCACCUUCCUUUGUCUACACAGCAAUUGGCCAACCGUCUUAGCUGAUUUUAGUUUGCUUUAUUCACUACAACCGCUGUCAAGCUUUAUUUCUGGCUUCUCUCUUAAUUUACCAAGUGUUAACAGCAUCUUCAUUCUGUCCUCCUAAAUCUACCAAAUGUUCCAAACAACUGCAUUUCUACUAGGUUCAUGAGUUCAUCUUUCACCUCAUGUGACCCCCAUUAGCCAUGAGACUCAUCUAUACAGCAAAUCCAGCAAGUUGAUUCAUAAAUGAGAAUCAAUAGAAAGUUAGGAAACACAAAGGAAUGUUGAUAUUCCGAAUAUGAAAAGAUUGCAUGAGAGACAUCUAAGAAGAUGUAUAGAUGUUUCACAGGUUGGGAAAUCGGGUGACAUGAAUAAAAAGAGGGCCUAAUUGCUAGACAGAGUCACAGUCACAACAGUAAAUAAACUAACCUAUUGAAAAAAGCAUAUAUAGAAACUUAAAUUGUCUAUCUUUUUAAUGAGUUGGCAACCCACUCCAUGGACCCCACUAAAGUUAUGGCUGCAACAUUUUGUUUGCUAAAGGGUUGUGAAAUAGAUGAACAUAACAUGGGGACUGAAAUCAUUCGGUAACUGAUAGCAUGAAACUUGAAAAUAUAAAAUAAAUCAACAGCAUUAAAAAAAAAAAAUCUUUACUGAUCUUCAAAAGUGCAAGAAAGAAUAACACUAUCAUGAACCAGCAUAUGUAAAUCACAAUGAAACACAAGAUAGUGCGAUAUGAAAUAAUGCUACACAGAAUACCACCAUGCCAUACUGCUGGCUAUUGCAACACAAUCCAAACCACAUUGUACGCAUCAUCAUCAUCUAUCUUCAAGAAGCAUCUCAAAUUGAACUCAUACUAAAAUCACAUUAUUUAUGAUAAAGGUUUUUUUAAAAAAGAAUAUACUUACAAAAGAAACGUAAUUGAUAUGAUCGAUUGCAAACUUACUAUGUGCAUUCCAUCAUUGAUGAACUCUAUAAAAAAAGCAAAGCACCCUGAUAGAUAAAAGAACGUAAAGAAACACUGCUUGCUAACGAUUAAUUUCCAGCUUCAAAUGAAAAAGAGAAAUAUCCAUGCCUGCUAUAUCACUUUAGAAGAAUCAGAUGGUACAUGUAUAUGUAAACAAAAUAAAUUACGCACUUUAAAGCAGCAACUCUGACAUGAAUGCUUGUCCCAUCUUGUAAGCGUUUAAGCAGAAUAGGUUGCAAAUAUGCUAAAUGGGAUUGAGAUAUAGGGCCAAUUGUUUCAGUUAGAGGGCAGAAAAGGAUCAAAGCCACCUAGCAUAGAAUCAGAAGAGCAAAAUAAACACAAACUGUCAAUGAAUAUUUAGAAGAAUCAACAAUGCACUUAAAUUACAAAUAAGAAUGCCAAGUUAUUAAAAGAAAACCACUCAAUCAUAAACCAAUAAGCAGUAACUUUGACAGAAGAAUUGGAUGCAAAACAUAUUCUCAGGGCAUCAGCCCAAAUAUAUACAAAUGUAUAAGGUGCACACUGAAAUCAUGAGAAAUUGAGAAUAUACAUGCUUGAAAUGUAAUGUCAGAAAACAAAGCAAAGUCAUACAUACAUACAUACACUCAUACACAUGGAUACAAAUAACACACACACACACACACACAUAAUUUGAGCAACUUCAACCAUAUUAUAAUUGUCGUCUUGGAGUCUGUCAUGACUCCAAAAAAAAAUCUCAAAAAAAAAAUGUGUAUAUAUAAUACACACACACACACACCCACUACAUACACACACACACACACACACACACACACACAUAUAUAUGGAUAUUCUAAAUCUCCAUUAAACACAGUAGGAGGGAAUGU
rnacentral:lncRNA from 1 species